GGGGAGGAAGGUGGUGAGGAUAUCCAGCUGAAUGGAAGGCUGCUUUACUUACUGGGAGCAGCUCAGCUACAAGUGAUGGUCCUGGGAGCUGUGGAGGACUUCUAAAGAAUCCAGGUCUCCUUGUCAUGGUGUUUAACUGCAUUGUGCUCUUUGAACAGAGGAAUCACUGAGGAAAAGUAAGACAAACGUGGAUCGCUUCAAGCAUAUGUUGUUAUGAGGGAACUAAAUGAAACAGUAGAAGGGAGCGAUCUGCUCAUGACUGCAUAAUGUACUUCCUUUUCUGAAGAACCUGUUUUUAAAUCCUACAAGACUGAGCGUCAGGACAAGCUGCCUUUAAAGUUCAUAGAUGGUGAGGGUAAAAGCUUCGGUCAGUGAAGUCCAUGGAGAUAACCCAGCGAACACCAGCUGAGUGUCUGGGCCUCUGUCCUUUUCCUCUUUGUCUGUGCAACACAGUGGUGGCUCUAGGUAGAAAUCCAUAGAGUCUCUAAAGGUGGCUGAUGGAAAAAUGUGAAUAAUGCUUCGCCAUUAGCCAUCAAGCAUUUUAAAUAAAAUACUGGAUCUAC